GGGUUGGAAAGAAGUCAUGAUAAAUCUUCAGAAAUUUUAUGAAAGAAUGCAAAAGAAAAAAUAUGAGAUUUGUGGUAUAUAAUAAAUAUCUAUUGGGAAUGCAAUUCCAAUUUCCCCUAGUAUGAGAUGAUCUAAAAGUUGUGAAAAAUAUCUUAAGACUUUGCUGCCUUUCAACCUUCUUAUGCACGUCACCUUUUCUAUCUUCUGACCCACCUCACUUGCUGAGCCUUCCAUACCUACUACCAUCAUGCUAGCCUCUAGGUAGGUACUUAAAAUCUGUAGUGCCUCACUCAAGUCCAACUGCCCCAAUAUCUGUAUUACCCUUUACUCUAAAC
rnacentral:lncRNA from 1 species